UUUAAAAUUAAUUAAAAGCGACGGGCAAUAUGUAUAUAUUAUUUUAAAAUAUUAAAAUUUUAAACCUAUAAAAAUUUAAUUUUAAAUCCAUUUUCAUUUAAAUAUUAAAAUUUAAAAUUCAAUUUUAAAAUUUAUUUAAUGUAUUUCAUUUUAAUCUUAUACUUUUAAUAUAUUAUGAUUUGAAAUAAACUAAUAAAAAUAAAAUUUAUUAAUUUUUUAUUACAAAAUUAAUUAAACAACAAUAUAUAAUUUAAUUAAUAUAAGUUUAUUUAAAUGUGUAUUAUCAAAUUAAUUAACAAAAUCCUCUAAUUUUAAAUAAUACUACCAAAUUAUUUAAUUUUUAAAAAUAAAAAUUUACUAAUUAAAAAAAAAUUAAUCCUUAUAAUA
rnacentral:rRNA from 1 species